rnacentral:rRNA from 1 species
UACGGAGGAUGCAAGCGUUAUCCGGAAUGAUUGGGCGUAAAGCGUCCGCAGGUGGUACAACAAGUCUAGUGUCAAAGACCGGGGCUCAACCCCGGGAAGGCGGUGGAAACUGUUGAACUAGAGGGUCGUAGGGGUAGAGGGAAUUCCCAGUGUAGCGGUGAAAUGCGUAGAUAUGUGGAGGAACACCGAUGGCGAAGGCAAUCCCCUGGGCCUGUACUGACGCUCAUGCACGAAAGCGUGGGGAGCAAACAGG